rnacentral:rRNA from 1 species
AGAGUUUGAUCAUGGCUCAGAUUGAACGCUGGCGGCAGGCCUAACACAUGCAAGUCGAGCGGUAGCACAGAGAGCUUGCUCUCGGGUGACGAGCGGCGGACGGGUGAGUAAUGUCUGGGAAACUGCCUGAUGGAGGGGGAUAACUACUGGAAACGGUAGCUAAUACCGCAUAACGUCGCAAGACCAAAGUGGGGGACCUUCGGGCCUCAUGCCAUCAGAUGUGCCCAGAUGGGAUUAGCUAGUAGGUGGGGUAACGGCUCACCUAGGCGACGAUCCCUAGCUGGUCUGAGAGGAUGACCAGCCACACUGGAACUGAGACACGGUCCAGACUCCUACGGGAGGCAGCAGUGGGGAAUAUUGCACAAUGGGCGCAAGCCUGAUGCAGCCAUGCCGCGUGUGUGAAGAAGGCCUUCGGGUUGUAAAGCACUUUCAGCGGGGAGGAAGGCGAUAAGGUUAAUAACCUCAUCGAUUGACGUUACCCGCAGAAGAAGCACCGGCUAACUCCGUGCCAGCAGCCGCGGUAAUACGGAGGGUGCAAGCGUUAAUCGGAAUUACUGGGCGUAAAGCGCACGCAGGCGGUCUGUCAAGUCGGAUGUGAAAUCCCCGGGCUUAACCUGGGAACUGCAUUCGAAACUGGCAGGCUAGAGUCUUGUAGAGGGGGGUAGAAUUCCAGGUGUAGCGGUGAAAUGCGUAGAGAUCUGGAGGAAUACCGGUGGCGAAGGCGGCCCCCUGGACAAAGACUGACGCUCAGGUGCGAAAGCGUGGGGAGCAAACAGGAUUAGAUACCCUGGUAGUCCACGCCGUAAACGAUGUCGAUUUGGAGGUUGUGCCCUUGAGGCGUGGCUUCCGGAGCUAACGCGUUAAAUCGACCGCCUGGGGAGUACGGCCGCAAGGUUAAAACUCAAAUGAAUUGACGGGGGCCCGCACAAGCGGUGGAGCAUGUGGUUUAAUUCGAUGCAACGCGAAGAACCUUACCUGGUCUUGACAUCCACAGAACUUUCCAGAGAUGGAUUGGUGCCUUCGGGAACUGUGAGACAGGUGCUGCAUGGCUGUCGUCAGCUCGUGUUGUGAAAUGUUGGGUUAAGUCCCGCAACGAGCGCAACCCUUAUCCUUUGUUGCCAGCGGUCCGGCCGGGAACUCAAAGGAGACUGCCAGUGAUAAACUGGAGGAAGGUGGGGAUGACGUCAAGUCAUCAUGGCCCUUACGACCAGGGCUACACACGUGCUACAAUGGCAUAUACAAAGAGAAGCGACCUCGCGAGAGCAAGCGGACCUCAUAAAGUAUGUCGUAGUCCGGAUUGGAGUCUGCAACUCGACUCCAUGAAGUCGGAAUCGCUAGUAAUCGUAGAUCAGAAUGCUACGGUGAAUACGUUCCCGGGCCUUGUACACACCGCCCGUCACACCAUGGGAGUGAGUUGCAAAAGAAGUAGGUAGCUUAACCUUCGGGAGGGCGCUUACCACUUUGUGAUUCAUGACUGGGGUGAAGUCGUAACAAGGUAACCGUAGGGGAACCUGCGGUUGGAUCACCU